rnacentral:misc_RNA from 1 species
UACGGAGGGAGCUAGCGUUGUUCGGAAAUACUGGGCGUAAAGCGAACGUAGGCGGCUACGUAAGUCAGGGGUGAAAUCCCGGGGCUCAACCCCGGAACUGCCUUUGAAACUGCAUGGCUAGGAUCCUGGAGAGGCGAGUGGAAUUCCGAAUGCAGAGGUGAAAUUCGUAGAUAUUCGGCAGAACACCAGUGGCGAAGGCGACUCGCUGGACAGGUAUUGACGAUUAGGUUCGAAAGCGUGGGGAGCAAACAGG